rnacentral:lncRNA from 1 species
AGCCUUGUACAGAAAUGUCCACAGGAGAAUUACCCAUAGCCAAAAAAUGGAAACAGCCCAAAUGCCCAUCAACCGAUAAAUGCACAAAUGAAAAUGUGGUAUAAGGGAAUAUUGUUCAGUAAUAAGAAGGUACAAAGUUCUGGUACAUGCUACAGCAUGGAGGAGCCUUGGAAAUACUCUAAGGAAUGAAAAAAGCCAGUCACAAAAGACCACACGGAUGAUCACAUUUCUAUGAAAUACCCAGAACGGAUGCAUCUACGGAGACAGAAAGUGGACUGGCAGUUGCCAGGGGCAGCGGUGAGGGUGGGCCGGGGGUCGGGGGAACAUGGAGUGAUGGCUCAUGGCUCCACGUUUCUUUAAGGGGUGAUGAAACGUUCUAAAAUUAGACCAUGGUGAUGGUUGUACAACUCUGUAAAUACACUGAAAACCAUUCAAUUGUAUACUUUAAAUAAUUAGGUGAACUUAUAUAAAUUACAUCUCAGAGUCUCUACAUGUGUGUAUAUUUAAAAAACACUUAUUUGCUUAGAAACACAUAUACAAUUUUGCUAUGCUAUAGAAAACUACUGUAAGUCUUCUUACCAGCCCAGCACACCUCUAGCUAUGAGAGCAGAUCUGAGAGAAUACGAGAGAAUGAGAAAGGUAGGGUGGUAUGGGGCACAAGAGCAGAGAGGAAGCUGCAGCUUAAAAGGUCUGAAUAUCUACUGCAAAUUUAUAGAAAUAAUUCAGCAUGCAACUUGAACUGCUGUAAUCAGCACUGAUUCUAAACAUAUUUUACACACAGUUAAAACCGUGGCUGACCACAGGAAGCAUGGCUGAUGUUCUUGGCUCCUGUGCUUUAAGGUGAGGGGUGUUUCUCAAUGUUUUAGGGAACUACACAAGCUGAGCCCCCAAAAGGAAAUUAAGAAUUGAGGAGGGGAUGCUAUAUUAGUCCGUUUUCACGCUGCUGAUAAAGACAUGCCCUUGACUGGGCAAUUUACAAAAGAAAGAGGUUUAAUUGGACUGACAGUUCCAUGUGGCUGGGGAAGCCUCAUGAUCAUGGUGGAAGGCAUGAAGGAGCAAAUCACAUCUUACAUGGAUGGCAGCAAAGAGAGGAGAGCUUGUGCAGGGAAACUCCCCUUUUUAUAACCAUCAGAUCUCAUGAGACUUAUUCACUAUCAUGAGAACAGCAAGGGAAAGACUUGCCCCCAUGAAUGAAUUACCUCCCACCAGGUUUCUCCCACAACACAUGGGAAUUCAAGAUGAGAUCUGGGUGGGGACACGGCCAAACUAUAUCAGACACAGUGGAGGAAAAAUAGGACUGAGAUGGCAUUUUUAAAAACUUCCUCCAUCAGAGAAUUUUAGGUUCACUUCUUAAGGGAAAGAGUGGCAGGUGGCAAAAUAGAAGCCAAAAACAUACAGUCAUCAUCAGGGAUUCCAGAGAAAGAGAGCUUCUAACUUGAUUUGGGUUCCUUACUUCCCAUAUGCAGCUUUUUAAAAAAGCAAAAUUAGGCUAUUUUAGGUAUCUCCAUAUAUCAGCCUAAUUUUUUACAUAAACAUGAUCUAAAUUGAAAAGUUCUUUUUCUUUUUUUGGAGAUAAAGUCUUGCGCUGUCACCCAGGCUGGAGUGCAGUGGCUUAAUCUCAGCUCACUGCAACCUCUGCCUCCCGGGUUCAAGUGAUUCUUGUGCCUCAGCCUCCCAAGUAGCUGGGAUUACAGGCAUGCGCCACGUGUGGCUAAUUUUUGUAUUCUCAGUAGAGAUGGGGGUUUCACUAUGUUCGCCAGGCUAGUCUGGAACUCCUGACCUCAGGAGAUCCACCAACCUUGGCCUCCCAAAGUGGUGGGAUUACAGGUGUGAGCCACUGCACAAUGUAAUUUAUUAGCUUAUCAUUUGUGUUUCAAUUGCAAACCUUAAUUAAGUAUUCUUUUUUUUUGAGACAGAGUCGUGCUCUGUUACCCAGGCUACAGUGCAAUGGCACAAUCUCAGCUCACUGCAACCUCCACCUCCUGAGUUCAAGCGAUUCUCCUGCCUCAGACUCCCAAGUAGCUGGGAUU